CCUCCUCCUGGACCUCCUUCUCAUCUUCUUCUAAUCUUCUUCGCUGCCAAAUCUUUACUCCCGCGCACAGUAAGCCUUACUCGCUCUGAAAAAUAUGAAACCUCGCGCAUUACUGGAAAGCAGUCUCUCAAUUUCACAUUCUCCAUAUCUUCAAUCUCGUAUCAGAAGGUCUCUCCCUCUCGCAAAGUCUCCAUCAACACUCGCAUUUCUCCAACGAACCAGCCGUAUUCACUUCAGUCCUCUUCGUCCUCAUUCUCUAGUUUUAAAUCCUGAAUUCAAGGUUGUAGAAGCAGUGAGAUUUGAUGGUCCGAUAAUGAAUAUUGGGGUUGAGGAUUGUGAAUUGGUUAUAGAGACUUGCAUUACACGGACUUUGCCGCCGGCAUUGACGCUGGAGUUUGGUCUUCGGAGUAUUAGAGAGGCUGUGGAGGAAUUGAAGUUGAAUCCUCCUCCUUCUAGCAGUGGAGUUUUGAGAUUUCAGGUUGCUGUGCCUCCUAGUCCAAAAGCUUUGAAUUGGUUCUGUUGUCAACCAGAGGCGUCUGGAGUGUUUCCUCGAUUUUUCCUUUCUAAGGAGAUGGAGAAUCCAUCAUGUAAAUCUCUUUAUCAUAACAGAACCCGUGGAGUUUUUGGAAUUGGAGCUGCAAUUUACUUUAUGAAGUCCUCUUGUCUUACAUCAGGGGAGCAUGGCUGUACAAAAAGAUAUGUCUCAAGUGAUUCUAUCCAUAUAUCAACCUAUGGUUUUGUGAAUAUUAAAUUUGAUGCCAUGUCAUCAUCAAUUAAGCAUGAGGCUGGUUCUUAUUAUCUUGUAAUUCCUGAGAUUGAGUUAGAUGAGUAUGAGGAUGCCUCCAUUCUAUCAGCAACACUGGCAUGGGAUGAUGCUUUCUCUGAUACAUUUAAACAGACAAUUCAAUCUUUUGAGUCAUCUAUUAACCAGGUCAGUUAUCAUCUUUGGCCAACUGGAGAGAGAUGCUGUUUUGACUGCAUUAAAUCCUCUCUCAAUAAGAUCAAUGUGGUGGAGGAUAAAAAUUUUCAAAUGGUUUCUUCAAAUGCUCUGUUGUUGGAUGCAAGGGAUUACGAAGCUGACCUCUUGGAACUGAGAGGGACCACAUUUAUCUCUCAGUUUUAUUUUGGGCUUUCACCAACCUUUGGUGUUUCCAGUAACAUGUUGGAUCAUGCCCAUGAAACAAGUUUCUCCCUUCAAGAUUGUGCAAACAUCAAUGCAGUUUGGGCAUCACUUAUAGUGGAAGAAUGUUCUCGGAUUGGGUUAACGUACUUCUGCAUUGCUCCAGGAUCAAGAUCAUCGCCUCUUGCGAUUGCUGCUUCUACUCAUCCCCUAACAACGUGCAUUGCUUGCUUUGAUGAGCGUUCACUUGCAUUUCAUGCUGUUGGGUAUGCCAGAGGUUCUCAUAAACCAGCAGUUGUCAUAACAUCGUCAGGAACUGCAGUUUCAAAUCUUCUUCCUGCUGUUGUGGAAGCCAGUCAAGAUUUUGUGCCACUUCUGUUGCUCACUGCAGAUCGCCCUCCUGAGCUUCAAAAUGUUGGGGCAAACCAAUCGAUCAAUCAGGUGGAGCAUUUUGGUUCUUUUGUGAGGUUCUUCUUCAGUUUUCCUGCACCUACUGAUAAUAUUCCUGCGCGGAUGGUUCUCACCUCACUUGACUCUGCUGUACAUUGGGCAACCUCUUCACCAUAUGGCCCUGUUCAUAUUAACUGUCCUUUUAGAGAGCCACUGGAUGGUAGUCCGAAAAGAUGGAGUUUGAGCUGUCUCAAGGGAUUAGAUAAUUGGAUGUCUAGUGCUGAGCCAUUCACAAAGUAUAUUCAAAUGCAAAAUUCACUUGCAUGUUAUGGCGAAAUGCACAUCCCUAUGGCACAAGUUCUUGAAAUAAUUCAAGGGGCCAAAAGGGGUCUUCUUCUUGUCGGUGCAAUUCAUACAGAAGAGGACAUAUGGGCAGCUCUUCUCUUGGGGAGACAUCUCAACUGGCCAGUCGUAGCAGACAUCUUGUCAGGUUUACGAUUGAGGAAGUUCUUGUCUUAUUUUCCUGAAGUUGAAGAGAAUGUUUUAUUUCUUGAUCAUCUGGACCAUGUUUUGCUCUCGGAUUUUGUGAGGGGUUGCGUGAUGUUUGAUGUAGUUAUUCAGAUUGGAGGUCGAAUAACAAGCAAACGUAUUUGUCAGAUGCUGGAGGACUGCUAUCCGUGCUCAUACAUCUUAGUUGACAACCACCCUUGUCGUCAUGAUCCAUCACAUUUGGUAACUCACAGGGUGCAGUGCUCCAUUCUUCAAUUUGUUGACAGUAUAAUAAAAGCUCAACAUCCUUCUAGGAGCAGCAAAUGGUGUAGUUAUCUGAAAGCUUUGGACGAUAUGGUUGCACGGAACAUAUCAUUUCAAAUUUAUGCAGAGAGCUCCUUGACCGAGCCACAUGUUGCACAUGUAAUUUCGAAAGCACUUUCAUCUGAGUCUGCUCUUUUUAUUGGCAACAGCAUGGCAAUACGUGAUGCUGAUAUGUAUGGAUGUAGUCAUGAAAACCAUACUUCUAGCAUUGUGGGGAAGGUUUUGAACUCAGAACUUCAGUGUCUUGGAAUUAGUGUGGCUGCAAAUAGGGGAGCUAGUGGUAUUGAUGGUUUGCUCAGUACAGCAAUUGGUUUUGCAGUUGGAUGCAAAAAAAGAGUACUUUGUGUGAUUGGAGAUGUGUCUUUCCUUCAUGAUACAAAUGGCUUAUCAAUUUUGAAGGCAAGGAUUUCAAGGAAGCCAAUGACAAUACUUGUGAUAAACAAUCAUGGUGGAGCAAUCUUCAGUCUGCUUCCUAUUGCAGAUGGAACUGAUCAGAGAAUCCUGAAUCAGUAUUUCUACACUUCCCACAACAUUUCAAUUCACCAGCUGUGUAUGGCACACAGUGUGAGAUAUGUACACGUGAAGACAAAAAUGGAACUUCAAGAUGCUUUACACACAUCUCAAUAUGAGAAUGUGGAUUAUGUCAUUGAAGUGGAGAGCUGCAUUAGUGCCAAUUCAACUUUCCACAGCAUAUUAAAGAAAUCUGCAUGCCAAGCAGCAGAUCAGGCUUUAAGCAUUCUUUCAAGGCUUUCAGUUCCAUCUUCCCUUGCAGAUGGGUUGUUUGUAAGCGAGAUUCUCAAAAUGGAGUACUCGCUGUACAGAAUUCAACUGUGCGCUGCGCCUACUUUAACUUCAGUAGCUUCUGAUUGUAAUAAAUUUCAUAAGGAAGGAUAUAUUCUAUCAUUGUUUCUUGAAGAUGGAAGCAUUGGGUAUGGUGAGGUUGCACCUGUUGAUAUGAAUAAAGAAAGCUUGAUGGAUGUAGAAGAGCAACUUCAGUUUCUCAUUCAUGUGAUCCAAGGAACCAAGCUUAGUUUUUCCCUUCCUCUACUAAAGGGAUCAUUUUCCUCUUGGAUAUGGAACAAUUUAGGAAUCCCGGAAUAUUCAAUCUUUCCUAGCGUCAGAUGUGGUUUAGAAAUGGCUAUCUUGAAUGCUAUAGCAGAAAGACAAGGCUCCAGUUUACUGAACAUGAUUCAACCCCAGAGAGAGGAAGAAAAAACUAAUGAAAAGUCAAGGGUUAAGAUAUGCGGCCUUAUUGACUCUAACGGGACGCCUGCUGAGGUUGCUCAUAUUGCUUACUCUCUUGUUGAAGAAGGAUUUUCUGCAUUAAAGCUAAAAGUUGCACGACGAGCAGAUCCCAUUCAAGAUGCUGCAGUUAUACAAGAAGUGAGAAAAAAGGUGGGUCAGCAGAUUCAACUCCGUGUGGAUGCCAACAGAAAGUGGUCCUAUGAAGAAGCUAUUCAGUUUAGCUCUCUGGUGAAAGAUUGUGACCUUCAGUAUAUUGAGGAGCCUGUUCAGGAUGAAGAUGAUAUUGUAAAGUACUGUGAAGAAAGUGGCUUACCUGUUGCACUUGAUGAAACUAUUGACAAAUUUUGUGAAAAUCCUCUUGGUAUGCUUGUGAAAUAUGCUCACUCUGGAAUAGUUGCUGUGGUUAUCAAACCAAGUGUGGUUGGUGGGUUUGAACGAGCAGCAUUCAUUGCACAAUGGGCCCAUCAGCAAGGGAAGAUGGCUGUUGUUAGUGCUGCAUUUGAAAGUGGCUUGGGCUUGUCAGCUUACAUUCAGUUCUCCUAUUACCUAGAGCUGCAGAGUGCAGAUCUUUGCAGAGUUAUGAACUAUAAAUUGUGGCCAUCUGUAGCCCAUGGUCUUGGUACAUAUAAAUGGCUGAAAGAAGAUGUAACGACUAAACCUUUGGGGAUUCAUCCUGAUCCAUGUAGUGGCUUUGUGGGAGCAUCUGUUGCCGAUGCUAUUCAACUCCUGCAGAAGUUUCAAGUCAACCACAAUGUUAUUCAAAGGACUUUUACUGGGGAGCAAGUAUAUAGAUACCAUUUGGCUGUGAAUUUGAAGGAUUUUUCCAGCUCCAUCAAAGUGUAUGAGGUUGGACAAAAAGAGAAUGAUAAUGUUGUUCUUUUUCUUCAUGGCUUUCUUGGAACUGGUGAAGACUGGGUCCCUAUCAUGAAGGCCAUCUCAGGAUCUGCAAGAUGCAUUUCAAUUGAUCUUCCUGGCCAUGGGGGAUCAAAUAUACAAAAUUGCGGUGGUACAGAAGCCAAACAGGAAGUAACUUUGUCAGUUGAAAUUAUUGCAGAUGUAUUGUAUAAGUUGAUACAAGAGAUAACUCCUAGAAAGGUCACCCUUGUUGGAUAUUCAAUGGGAGGAAGGAUAGCACUGCAUAUGGCGCUUAGGCAUCAGGAUAAGAUCAAUGGAGCUGUUAUAAUAUCUGGUAGCCCUGGAAUAGAAGAUGGAAUGGCAAGAAAAAUUCGUUGGGUUAAAGAUGUUUCUAGAUCUCGCUUACUCAUCGAUUAUGGGCUACAAACCUUUCUAGAUGCCUGGUAUGCUGGGGAGCUCUGGGACAGCUUGAGAAGCCAUCCUCGUUUUAAGGAAAUAGUUUCCAGCCGCUUGUUGCAUGAUGAUAUUCACUAUCUUGCAAAAGCUCUAUCUGAUCUGAGCAUUGGUAGACAGAUGCCAUUGUGGGAAGAGUUGAAGCAAAGUGAUAUACCUCUUUUGCUCAUUGUUGGAGAGAGAGAUGGGAAGUUCAAGGCAAUUGCCCGAAAAAUUUGCAAUGAAAUUGGUCAAUAUAGAAAGUGCAGUAAUGACACGGGGAACAAUAUUUUAGGGACAGUUGAGGUUCCCAACUGUGGGCAUGCUGUCCAUUUGGAGGAUCCUCUCCAUGUUAUUAGAUCUAUAAGACAAUUCCUAACCAGACUUGGGAAGUGUUCCAUUUCAAAGCUCAGUGAAGAGAAGCUCUAAUCCAUUACUGUUUCAGGUGUUGAAGAUUUCAACAAACAACCAAUUUUGCAGUAAGGUUGGUUGUUGACUAUUCAUUUUGUUAAAGAAUGUCCAUUUGAUAGUGGAAUCCAACACUUAAACCAUAUGUUGAUCUUUCAGAAGUAGAAAGGUAUGUUGGAGUGGUGACUGGAGCAAAUGUCUUGUGUUCUGAUUGAAAUUCAAUGCCAGUGCUAUGCCAACAGCGUUGCUGUGUCUUCUUAUCACGAGGUAGGUGCAGAUGUGCUCUUUCUAUAUGUUUUUUUUCCUGGAAGGGAUAUUUACUGAGAGCAACAAUUACAGUGUUCGUGUCAUUCAGUAAUAGUAUGGAUGUUGUUAAUGGUAAAAUAAUAACUUGCACACAUGACGUAAUCUCAUGCCUUGAGAAGGUGAUUGAACAUUAAUAUAGAGAUUAAAUUGCAAUAUAUGAUAAGGUACAGACGUUCACACAUAUAGGCGUGCUGUCAAUUAUGAAGUAAAAAUAGGAUAGGUUGUUGGAUAAAGAAAAAGGAAAGUUGUACACUAGCAUAGCACUUCUUUGUAAAAUUCUCCGCAUGUGCUCGACUUGCAGAAUGCAGAUGUUGAUUGGUAAAGUUUA